rnacentral:rRNA from 1 species
GGCCUAACACAUGCAAGUCGAGCGGAUGAGUGGAGCUUGCUCCAUGAUUCAGCGGCGGACGGGUGAGUAAUGCCUAGGAAUCUGCCUAUUAGUGGGGGACAACGUUUCGAAAGGAACGCUAAUACCGCAUACGUCCUACGGGAGAAAGCAGGGGACCUUCGGGCCUUGCGCUAAUAGAUGAGCCUAGGUCGGAUUAGCUAGUUGGUGAGGUAAUGGCUCACCAAGGCGACGAUCCGUAACUGGUCUGAGAGGAUGAUCAGUCACACUGGAACUGAGACACGGUCCAGACUCCUACGGGAGGCAGCAGUGGGGAAUAUUGGACAAUGGGCGAAAGCCUGAUCCAGCCAUGCCGCGUGUGUGAAGAAGGUCUUCGGAUUGUAAAGCACUUUAAGUUGGGAGGAAGGGCAUUAACCUAAUACGUUAGUGUUUUGACGUUACCGACAGAAUAAGCACCGGCUAACUUCGUGCCAGCAGCCGCGGUAAUACGAAGGGUGCAAGCGUUAAUCGGAAUUACUGGGCGUAAAGCGCGCGUAGGUGGUUUGUUAAGUUGGAUGUGAAAGCCCCGGGCUCAACCUGGGAACUGCAUCCAAAACUGGCAAGCUAGAGUAUGGCAGAGGGUGGUGGAAUUUCCUGUGUAGCGGUGAAAUGCGUAGAUAUAGGAAGGAACACCAGUGGCGAAGGCGACCACCUGGGCUAAUACUGACACUGAGGUGCGAAAGCGUGGGGAGCAAACAGGAUUAGAUACCCUGGUAGUCCACGCCGUAAACGAUGUCGACUAGCCGUUGGGAUCCUUGAGAUCUUAGUGGCGCAGCUAACGCAUUAAGUCGACCGCCUGGGGAGUACGGCCGCAAGGUUAAAACUCAAAUGAGUUGACGG